UGCGCAGGCGGAACUUUAAGUCAGUGGUGAAAUCUUGCCGCUUAACGGUAAAAUUGCCAUUGAUACUGAAGUUCUUGAAUAUGGUUGAGGUAGGCGGAAUGUGUUGUGUAGCGGUGAAAUGCAUAGAUAUGACACAGAACGCCGAUUGCGAAGGCAGCUUACUAAGCCAUUAUUGACGCUGAGGCACGAAAGCGUGGGGAGCGAACAGGAUUAGAUACCCUGGUAGUCC
rnacentral:rRNA from 1 species